rnacentral:rRNA from 1 species
UACGUAGGGUCGCAAGCGUUAAUCGGAAUUACUGGGCGUAAAGCGUGCGCAGGCGGCUAUGCAAGACAGAUGUGAAAUCCCCGGGCUCAACCUGGGAACUGCAUUUGUGACUGCAUGGCUAGAGUACGGUAGAGGGGGAUGGAAUUCCGCGUGUAGCAGUGAAAUGCGUAGAUAUGCGGAGGAACACCGAUGGCGAAGGCAAUCCCCUGGACCUGUACUGACGCUCAUGCACGGAAAGCGUGGGGAGCAAACAGG